GCCUUCGUGGUGUAGUGGUCAGCACACCGAGCCGGUAUUUCAGAGGUCCGUGGUUCGAUUCCCGGCAAAGGCG
rfam:Stegodyphus mimosarum contig106907, whole genome shotgun sequence.